rnacentral:lncRNA from 1 species
CUCAAAGAUUUUCUAAGAACAUCUCUCUCUAAUGAUAUCUCUUUCUCUGUGUUUUUAUUUUAGCGAUAUAGCGUGGAAAUGUCCAUCCGACACCUGAAAAAGACAGAGCUGCUUAGUAAGGUGGAAGCUUUGAAGAAAGGUGGCGUUUUACUACCAAAUGAUCUCCUUGAAAAAGUGGAUUCAAUUAAUGAAAAAUGGGAACUGCUUGGGAAAACCCUAAGAGAGAAGAUACAAGACACAAUGGUAGGGCACAGUGGGUCUGGUCCACGAGACCUGCUCUCUCCCGAAAGCGGAAGUCUGGUGAGACAGCUGGAGGUCAGGAUCAAAGAACUGAAAGGGUGGCUAAGAGACACAGAGCUUUUCAUCUUCAAUUCCUGUCUGAGACAAGAAAAGGAAGGAACAAUGAAUGCUGAGAAACAACUGCAAUACUUUAAGUCUCUCUGUCGUGAAAUCAAGCAGCGACGUAGAGGAGUGGCCUCCAUUCUUCGAUUAUGCCAGCAUCUUCUGGAUGACCGAGAGACCUGUAAUCUGAGUGCAGACCACCAGCCCAUGCAGCUGAUCAUUGUAAAUCUUGAAAGAAGAUGGGAAGCCAUUGUCAUGCAAGCUGUCCAGUGGCAAACACGGCUACAAAAGAAAAUGGGAAGAGAAUCUGAGACUUUGAAUGUGAUUGAUCCUGGUUUGAUGGACCUAAAUGGGAUGAAUGAAGAUGCCCUGGAGUGGGAUGAAACAGAUAUAAGUAACAAAUUAAUUAGUUUGAACGAAGAAUCAACUGACCUCGAUCAAGAACCCCAACCUGUAAUUCCUUCAUUGAAGUGUGAAGAGACAAGUAAUGAGGAUCCUGGUUAUGAGGAAGGGACAGGAGACCAUGGGGGAUCUCAGUAUUCCUCGAAUAUCACUGCACCCUGCAGUCCACAUAUUUAUCAGGUGUACAGCCUCCACAAUAUUGAACUCUACGAGGACAACCACCUGCCCUUUCUGAAAAACAAUCCAAACUUUACUAGCAUGACACAGCCUAGUGUUUUGACUAAGAGUCUUAGCAAAGACUCUUCCUUUUCAUCUACCAAAUCUUUGCCAGAUAUUUUAGGAGGUCCCAAUUUGGUAAAACCUUGCCCAUGCCACAGUGGAGACAUGUGCCAGAAUUCUGGCAGUGAGAGUGGAAUCGUCAGUGAAGGAGACACUGAAAUGACUACCAACUCAGAAAUGUGCUUGCUCAGUGCGGUGGAUGGGCCCCCAAGUCACCCUGGACAUCUGGACUCACAAGUGGGAGAUGCAGUUAAUGUAUUAAAGCAAAAAUUUAUAGAUGAGGACAAAUGCUGUAAGCCUCCAAAUAGCUCUCAGUCAUCCAUUUCACCAGUGGGCAGUGUAAAUGGAAAAGUUGGAGAUUUAAACAGUGUUACCAAACAUACCCCUGAUUGUUUGGGAGAAGAAUUACAAGGAAAACAUGAUGUGUUUACAUUUUAUGAUUACUCUUACCUUCAAGGCUCAAAACUCAAAUUACCAAUGAUAAUGAAACAGUCACAGAGUGAAAAGACACAUGUGGCGGAUCACCUUCUCUGUGGUUUUUAUUUUGAUAAAAAAUCUUGCAAAUCUAAACAGCAGGCUUUAGAGUUACAACCAGAUGCACCACCCCACGAAAAGGUUUUGGCAAAUGCACCCCAUGAAAUGGAUCGCAGCUCAUAUAAAAGUGGUGAUAUAGAGAAGGCAUUUGCUGGCAUUCCAAAUGCCAAACAAUUCUCCCUUUUAUCUCGUAGUUCAUCUAUUGAGUCCCUUUCACCAGGCAGCGAUUUAUUUGGAUUGGGUGUCUUUAAAAAUGGCAGUGACAGCCUCCAGCGAAGUACUUCUUUAGAAAGUUGGUUGACAUCCUAUAAAAGCAAUGAAGAUCUUUUUAGCUGUCACAGCUCUGGGGACAUAAGUGUGAGCAGUGGCUCAGUUGGUGAACUGAGUAAAAGGACAUUAGAUCUCCUGAAUCGUUUGGAAAAUAUCCAGAGUCCCUCAGAACAAAAGAUAAAGCGAAGUGUUUCUGAUAUCACUCUUCAAAGCAGUUCCCAAAAGAUGUCCUAUGCUGGCCAAAUGUCCUUGGACAUAGCAUCUUCUAUCAAUGAAGACUCAGCAGCAUCUCUCACAGAACUUAGCAGCAGUGAUGAACUCUCUCUUUGCUCAGAGGACAUUGUGUUACACAAGAACAAGAUUCCAGAAUCAAAUGCAUCUUUUAGGAAGCGCCUUAAUCACUCUGUAGCUGAUGAAAGUGAUGUGAAUGUCAGUAUGAUUGUUAAUGUCUCAUGCACCUCUGCUUGCACUGAUGAUGAAGAUGACAGUGACCUUCUCUCGAGCUCUACGCUCACCUUGACUGAAGAAGAACUUUGUAUCAAAGAUGAGGAUGAUGACUCCAGCAUUGCAACAGAUGAUGAAAUUUAUGAAGAAUGCAACCUGAUGUCAGGACUAGACUAUAUAAAGAAUGAGUUACAGACCUGGAUUAGGCCAAAACUUUCCUUGACAAGAGAUAAAAAACGGUGUAAUCUCAGUGAAGAAAUAAAGGGCAAUAAAGAUGUAAGCAGUAAUGAAGUGACCAAUUCCUCUGAUACCCUAAAUAUUGAGACCCUUCUAAAUGACUCCAUAAAAUGCCUCUCUGAAAAUAAUGGAAAUAGUAAGAAUUCACCCCAUAUGCACGAGUUAGGAACAAAGAGUGAAAACAAGAAAAAUAUUUUCAAAGUUAAUAAAGAUCCACAUGUGGCAGAUAUGGAAAAUGGCAAUAUUGAAAGUACUCCAGAAGAGCCAAAAGAUAAGCUGAGUGAAAGUUCACACUCAUCAGAGAAUCUUAGUUCAAGUGGGAAGAAGAUUCCAGAAAGUGAGCUCUGCAAGUAUAAGGCAUCUAUAGAUGGUUCAGAUGAUUUGAAUAUUGCUGGAAAGGAAUUUGGUCCUCCAAAUGUUAGACAUCUUCCAAAGGACUGUGCAAAUCACCACCCUUUUGAAAAUCAGAGGGCCAAUUGCACUGCCAUCACAAAAGCUUGCCCAGAACUGUCUUUAGAAGCCAGAGUUAACAACAGACAAGUCUGUGAUGUAUCGAAAUCUUCUUCUAAUGAUACAUCAAGUGUGGAUGAAAAUUCUGCUGGUUGCUGCCCCGCACUUGAACCAAAUGAAACCGAGGAAACCUCUUCUAUCAGUGGCAGUGUUUCCUGUUGCAACUGUAAGCCAGAUGUUUUCCAUCAAAAACAUGCUGAAGAUUGUUCUGUACAUGACUUUGUUAAAGAAAUUAUUGACAUGGCUUCAACAGCCCUAAAAAGUAAAUCUCAACCUGAAAAUGAGGUGCCUGCUCCCACUUCAUUAACUCAAAUCAAGGAAAAAGUAUUAGAACAUUCUCACCGGCCCAUCCAUUUGAGAAAAGGAGACUUUUAUUCCUACUUAUCCCUUUCAUCUCAUGACAGUGACUGUGGGGAGGUCACCAGUUACAUAGAAGAGAAAAGCAAUACUCCAUUGCUGCUAGACACAAUCGACUCUGGCUUAGAUGAAAAGGAAGACAUUGAAUGUUUCUUUGAGGCCUGUGUUGAGAAUGACCCUAAUUCAGAGGAUCCCUGUUUCUCUAACACUCCUCCGGAUGAAUCUUCAGUUCCCGAGGAAACUAAAGUGCCACUACAAGCGACACCCCACUCUUCUAAAUUCAGUGAUACUUCUCUAUUAGUUAAUGAUACAGACAUGGUGCCUCUUCCAAUACCUCCCUCUCAGAAAGAAGCUGACAUUAGAAAGGAAGUAGAUGAUUUUCCCCAGACUUCCAGCAGGUAUGCAGAAAACUCUGAGUUUAUUCCUUCACAGGUGCAUAGUGAAAAGGAGAAUUCAGGAAAACCAGGUGAAUCAGGAGUGCCAGAAGAGCACAACACUGCUUCAGCCAAAUCUAAGGUUCAGGACCUCUCCCUGAAGGCAAAUCAGCUAAAAGACAAAACUCCAUUGCAUCCCAGCCCCAAAUCUUUAACCUGUGAAGAAAAUCUUCUAGAUCUCUCUGCAGAACCACAUGGAAAUAUGCAUACGUAGAAUGUAACUCCUCCCCAAGCAUGAAAAUCCUCUCAUUGAAAG